rnacentral:rRNA from 1 species
UACGUAGGGUGCGAGCGUUAAUCGGAAUUACUGGGCGUAAAGCGUGCGCAGGCGGUUUUGUAAGCCAGAUGUGAAAGCCCCGGGCUCAACCUGGGAAUGGCAUUUGGGGCUGCAAGGCUUGAGUGCGGCAGAGGAGACUGGAAUUCCUGGUGUAGCAGUGAAAUGCGUAGAUAUCAGGAGGAAUACCGAUGGCGAAGGCAGGUCUCUGGGCUGACGCUGACGCUCAUGCACGAAAGCGUGGGGAGCAAACAGG